rnacentral:rRNA from 1 species
GUGAAUGUGCGGGUACUACACAUGCAGUCGUACGAGAAAUUCCGAUUCGUCGGGAGAGUAAAGUGGCGAACGGGUGAGUAACACUAGGGUAAUCUUCCCUUAAAUAAGGGAUAACGUUGCGAAAGCGACGCUAAUACCUUAUAAGACUACGAUCUCUGAGGAGAUAGUAGGAAAAGAUGGCCUCUGUUUCAAGCUAUCGUUUAAGGAUGAGCCCUAGCACUAUUAGCUAGUUGGUGAGGUAACGGCUCACCAAGGCGACGAUGGUUAGCUGGUCUGAGAGGAUGACCAGCCACACUGGAACUGAGACACGGUCCAGACUCCUACGGGAGGCAGCAGUGAGGAAUAUUGCGCAAUGGGGGAAACCCUGACGCAGUGACGCCGCGUGAGUGAUGAAGGCUUUCGAGUCGUAAAGCUCUGUUAGGUGGAAAGAAACAUUCCGGCGCUAAUAUCGCCGGGACUUGACGGUACCACCAGAGGAAGCACCGGCUAACUCCGUGCCAGCAGCCGCGGUAAUACGGAGGGUGCAAGCGUUGUUCGGAUUUACUGGGCGUAAAGGGCGUGUAGGCGGUUAACUAAGUCAGAUGUGAAAUCCCUUAGCUUAACUAAGGAAGUGCAUUUGAAACUGGCUAACUGGAGUACAGGAGAGGAAAGUGGAAUUCCCAGUGUAGAGGUGAAAUUCAUAGAUAUUGGGAGGAACACCGGUAGCGAAGGCGGCUUUCUGGCCUGAUACUGACGCUGAGACGCGAAAGCGUGGGUAGCAAACAGGAUUAGAUACCCUGGUAGUCCACGCCGUAAACGAUGGGAACUAGGUGUAGGAAGUGUUGACCCUUUCUGUGCCGAAGCUAACGCAUUAAGUUCCCCGCCUGGGGAGUACGGUCGCAAGGCUAAAACUCAAAGGAAUUGACGGGGGCCCGCACAAGCGGUGGAGCAUGUGGUUUAAUUCGACGCUACGCGAAAAACCUUACCUGGGCUUGACAUGCUGGGAUUAUUCCUGAGAAAUCAGAUGAUUGCCUUCGGGUGUAACCAGCACAGUGCUGCAUGGCUGUCGUCAGCUCGUGUCGUGAGAUGUUGGGUUAAGUCCCGCAACGAGCGCACCCUCCGCUUUUAGUUGCCAUCAUUAAGUUGGGCACUC